rnacentral:rRNA from 2 species
GGACUACCCGGGUUUCUAAUCCCGUUUGCUCCCCUGGCUUUCGUGCCUCAGCGUCAGGAAAUGUCCAGAGACUCGCCUUCGCCACUGGUGUUCCACUUGAUAUCUACGCAUUUCACUGCUACACCAAGUAUUCCAGUCUCCCCUCCAUUCCUCUAGUCAAACAGUUUCCAAUGCAGUUCCGCAGUUAAGCUGCGGGAUUUCACAUCAGACUUGUCAAACCGCCUACGCACCCUUUACGCCCAGUGAAUCCGAACAACGCUUGGGACCUCUGUAUUACCGCGGCUGCUGGCAC